rnacentral:lncRNA from 1 species
GAAAAAAAAAACUCUUUUGCUCCAUUCUUAAAUGCUGUCGUUUUUUUUUUUUGGUAGAAAUUAGAUGCUGUCGUUUGUCAAGGAGUCUGGUGUACGGCACUCCUGAGCCACAUGGCAGUAGAUGCCCGUGGCACGUUGUCGCUGGAAGCGAAUGCGCCCAUGUGCGCGAUGGGUUCGGAUCGUGUCCCGGUGUUUUUCUGUUUUGUCGUGCGAAAGAAGGAUACAGGCAUUUGUCAUCAGGGGCCCUAACUCCAGGUCAGUGGCAGCAGGGAUGGUCAGUUUUCGGACACCUGGAUUUUUAGAACAAAGCUGAGGGCGGUCUGAAUGAAGGUCAUCAAUGUGAGGCAGGUGCUGAGAUUGCAUUUGACAGCUGAUAAUUUAUUUAAAUUAUUAAUAAUUUAAAAUAGAUCUAUCGAAUUAUUAUAUUUGAAGAAAGAUGAUAUUCGGAUUAUUAUUUUUUAUAAUAUUAUAAAAAAAUUUAAAUAAAAUUAUCCCUCAAAAAGAUAUGCAAAUUGUUAGGAUUUAACGUCUCAAGAUUCAACCCACAUUGAGCCCACAGAGAGAUCUGCAGUAAAAAACGGAGUCCAACGAGAUCAAGAUCACCCCAAACGGAGCUCGGAUGGAGAAGAUACGAGCUUUUAAAGUCGGCACGAGAUCCGAGGUGGCAGAAGACCGCGGCAGCUGACGGCAGGUUGGCGAGCGCGGUCCAAGCAGGGCCAACAUGCGGGACGCGCGACCCAGGAUCACGGCCCAGGCGAGCUCACGGCCCAGCCCAUGCGCGGGUUGGCCCAGGCCCAAGCGCCUUGCCUGGGCUCUGUACCCCAAUCCACCGUAGACCGAGCGGUCCAUGGCGGACUGCGUGGACCACGUGGACAUUUCCCACGUGUUUCUCGCAAUCCAUGGUACUAUUUCGUGGACCACAGCGCCUGGGCCCUGUACCCCGAUCCACCAUAGAUCGGACGGUCCAUGGCGGACCGCAUGGAUCACGUGGGCGUUUUUCACUCAUUUCUCGCAGUCCACGGUAUUAUUUCAUAGACCGGAGCACGAUCGGAGGGCCCAGGGAGCUUCCGAUCUUGAUCCGACGGUUCAGGGAUUUGAUUUGAGUUGAUUAAGGAGUCUUAAACCUAAUUUGAGUGAGUUUAAGCCUUAUAAAAGGCUGGGAACGGUGAACAGAGGUGUGGUUGAGUGGCUAGUUUCUCGUGAACGUGGGUGGGAAGGCAUCGCGCGGUGCAGAUGAUCAGAACCCGAGAAGAGAAAGAGAACCGCACCGCUGAGAGAGGAGCAGGAGGCUCCUGGACAGCGGACGUCAGUCGCUUCAGGGGUUCAAAGGGGUCUUCCAAGAGAGAGAGCUUUUGUGAGAGAAACUUCAGGUGAGAGAGAGAUUGGGUGUACAAGGGUUGAGAGUGAGAUCUUCUCUUGUAAAUUUUUUUUUCAUAGUGAAGUUUACAUGCCUGUGGAGGCGAGCCCUUUUNNNNNNNNNNNNNNNNNNNNGUACUGAAAAGGUCUCGAGAGGUAGUUUCCUGACCAGACAUCCACCCAACACAAACUUACCUCUCCAACUGUAGUGGCGCUAUCGACAGAGGCUAGCCUCGUCGCCGCCGCACCUCCCCCCAUCCCAAUGGACUCCUUCCAUUUCUUCGAUGGCCAUAAAGACGAUGACGACGGUGACAACGACAAAGAGGAGCACGGGCUCCUCGCAAACUCCAAGAACUCUAAGGUUUUGAUCGUGUUCAAGAUGUUAGGUUUACUUUAAUGUAUAUGUCGCCGUUGAAUCGGAUGAGAGCCAUUACGGUCUUUAUUUGUACCAUGCAAAGUAAUCUGACUUAAGGAUAUUUUAAAAUUUUGAUUUCAUAUUAUCAAUAAUCUAAUUAUCAUACUAAAUAUGUCAAUCAAGAUUUCUAGUUUUUUACUGUAAUAUUAUCUGCAUGUAUCAAACACAGUUAUCAAUAUUACUGAUAAUUUAAUGAUAGUAAUUUAUCUUGAAAGCAAUCUACAUUACCUUCCAAGAUUGCCUAGCGAUGCAUUAAACGCAACCUAAGGAUUGAUCAUUUGCUCAUUGAGAAUGAUUUUACUAUGGUCAUCAGUUGGAUCCAAAGCCGGGUGGAGGCACAUUCUGUCCAUGAUUCACCCCUUUCUAUAUGAUAUCUAAAGAGUUUUGAGGGGAUGUGUUUCCCUAGGGAUCAGACAUAUUGGUGGACCGAGCUUAGGUCACCAAGCCUAAGCCUCCCGACAUAGAGUAUGGAUCAUUAUGUCUUAAAAAUGCAUCUUGCUUAGAUUAGAGCAAAUGCCGGUAUAGUUGUUGUUUUUAUGCCAUUAUUAGUAGAUCAAACGUUCUUCUUUCUUUGAUCUUUUGAAAUAAAUUUUUUUCUCGAGUUCUAUAACUCGAAUAAUAGGAGCUCUAUGCUAGAGUUUAAAAGAACGGCAUCUCUCUAUCGGAUUGCCUUACCCCUUUAUCAAGAGGUGAAUAAAACAAUAGAUUGAUCAUUCAUCAAUGUCGAUGGAUCUCUGUGAUAUUUUAUUUUUUAAUUUUAUUGGAUGUAUACAUAUUAGACAAAUGUGAAUUCUCCACCUUAUCGAAUUAAAAAGAUAUAGGCACCGUUAGCUCAUCUACUUCAUGGAUCGCGCUUUGAACUUCAUUAAUCAUCUGAUCAUCUACUAUGUAGAUCUUGAAAUGAAAUAAUGUAUAUCUUUUUUCACACAAAGGAUAUAAUUGAGAUCCACUCACAUCCUCUUUUGCAUAGCUUUUUAUCGUAGACCUUCGUACCCAAAGUUUGAAAUAUAUCUUUCGCAUGAAAGAAUAAUUGAUCUUCUUUCACGACAACCGUUAGAUUGCACUCUACAUAGAUCUCAAAAUAUUCUAAACAUCUUUAUUCGUGUAUUAGCAUAGAACUCAAAGCAACCAUUACAUGAUCUAAUAGUAGAUUCACAUGAAGGUAGGUGAAUCCUUCUUUUGUUUGAAAGAUAAAACCCCAAUCCCCACACCAAUUUGGAACCCAACCACAUGGCAAGUUUUUGAUUCCAUAUCCCUCUUCUAAUUUUCAGUGAUAUGGGUUGUAUUACAAUGAUAUGAUUCUAGAUAAGUGUCCCUCAUCUCAUACCAUGCCAUGUUUAGCCAUGAAUGUGAUCUUGUUUGAAUUUCUGAAAUAAAUAAUAACUACCAAUCUUCAAGAUAGACGAAGCAAAAGCUAUAGAGGAUUGUAUAUCUUUAUAUAGUGCAAACUACGAAUGACCCAAAUUUUUGAUUCUCAAGCUCUUGAAAUGUUUGCAAACCGAAUACCCUCCAUUUUUGUUUCCUUUUUCUUGUUGACCGGUGGAAUAUCAAGUAAUUAAGACUGCAAAUGGGUCAGAUUAACCAAUUAAUUUUGAAUAUUCUAUUAUAUGACCCAAUCCGAUCCAAACCCAAUAUAUCACUAGACUCAAAUCUUUUUGAGUCUUUAAGCCCUGAUUUAAAAUUUGUGGGAGCAAUGUUUUUAAAUAAAUUUAAAAUUAUCUUUACAUCUUAAUUUGUUUUAAAAAUAAUAUUAUUUAUUAUCUAUUUUAUAUGAUUAAUAAUAGUUUCUAUAUGAUAAUUAAAAUAUAUUGAGCCAUAUUUGAUCAACCCAAUCCAGAUCCAAAUUUUUUGGAUUGGAGUCGGAGUUGGGUUAUACAUGGCCGACCCAAUCUGAAUGACAUGUUGGGUCAAAAAUUUUAGCUGUGAAUCCGAUUCAAUUUUUUAUUGGAUUGGAUCUCAAUCUAACAUUAGGAUCCCAACGAAGAAUCAAAUCAAAUUGGGAUCGGUCAUGAUCCGAACCAUUUGUAACUCCUACAAGUGAUCCACAGCUUUGUUAUUGGGUAAAAUUGGUAGAGGAAAGAGUAGGAGAUCCAAUGCCUACUCUUCUGUCCUUUUUUUUCCAUGAAAAAUCUACAAUCACAGUUCCACUCCUGGAUCAAAGAACUAAAGUAGAGCCAAAACUCCUGCAUGUUUGAUGACCUCCAAAACCCAUGGUAGUGCAAUAAGAACAAGUGCCCAACACAUCACCGGAGUUUCCUCACCACUACUUAGUCACCUUGCAGCAUCAUGCCCUUGCGCAUGAUCUUGACCCCUUCUUGCUGAUAAUGAUUUCCUGGAAAUAGUUGAGGAUCGAUAGAACUUUGAUGGUGGCUGCAAUGACAAAGGCAAUGAACAUGAUGGGGGUUUGUGGAAGAUGGAUACCAUCUCUUGAUGUUUUGAGAGCCUAAGAAUAGGAGUCGUGAGAUAUAAGAUUUUUGACGUGGCAGAGGAUCCGAGCCUAUGCAUGGAGAAAUUGUAUCCUAUAAUAUAGUGCAUCAUACCAAGCACAAGAACUUAUUUUUAUAAGCAAAUCAUCGAGAUAAGUACUUGAUGAAUGAAUUUUAUGGGAAUGCGUGCCUGUGAUUGACAUGAUGGCAUGUGGUGCAUGAUACAUUUCUGCUAUGUAUGACAUUAUCCUAAUGGAGGGAGCAUGUACAAUUUCUCCUUUGAAGAAAAAUGAAUGGUUCUUUUUUGCUUUCCAAUUUUUUUUCUUUUUUAAUCUUUUUUGGACAUCAUAGACACGUGCUACUGAGAUCAUUGGAAAUAUCUACAUCUAACAUCAAGUAAAUCAUCCUGCGAAUGACAAUAAAUGCUUCUUAAACUAAACUGUAAUGGAUUGGGAAUAUAGAUCCAAGAAUCCAACCCGAUAAGUUGACUGAAAUAAUUUAGAUGAAAGAUAAAUAAAAUAUUUAAAGCCCCACUCUAUCAACAUCCAAUAGAUGAAUGAGUUGCGUUGAGAUUUUAAGGUACUGAAUCAUAGGCGUAGAUCUAGCUUAGAUUGUAUUUUGUUUUUUAGGAUAGCUUAAGGCUAAAGCUUAUUUGCCAAAUGGCGGAGACAGAAGCUCCAAAGAAAAGAUUAUUUCAAUAACAUAAAAAAUUUAUAUUAAAAUAAUUAAUUUGAUAUAUAAUUUUACUAAUUAUUGUAUUAGGCUACUAGCUAGCAUUAUUUUUUUCAAAAAAAAAAAUCUUUAUAUCUAAGCUUUUUCUUUAAAUUGUUUUUGACAAACGUUAUUAAUUGUAGAAUUGUGCACAACGUGGCACAUUGAUUUAAACAACACUGGUGUCGGUGCAGGCACGAGACAAGUGGGACAUACCGUGGGGAAAUGGUGCUUAGAAUAUUCAUUGAAAAGGACAAAAGCUGCCAGAUUCUGACCAAUAACAGAUUUCAACAGCGUCCACUCCAAUCUCCGUUAACAAGUGGUGUAGGCGCGCACGUUUGUUUGUACAUCGACUUAAAAUAUUUUUAUGCAUUAUAUGGUGACCAAAAUAAAGAGGGACAUCAUACCAAAAAGGUAAAUAAAUAAAGAGGGACACCUAGCUCAAUGUACAGCAGAGAUCCAAGUCCAGUGGGAUAAAACCCUCUGAUUCAACAUAUUCACCGUGAGACCUUAUUUGUAGAGGUAACCAAGGCUAUCAGAGCUUCAUUUCGCUCUCAGACACAAGCUUGGCAACAAUGUUAUGCUUAGCCACCAUCAUAUAAAGCAUCCCUAAGAGCUGUUGCUUCUGUAGCUAAAGUUGAUGCGGCAUAUGCUAGAGCCGUCUGAAUAAGAAGUUGGUGCUCAUGCUUCGUGAUCAUUAACAACAGCAUGGAGCCAAAUAUUACUAAGCAGUCUGCCCUGAAACAUGUUCUGAAAAAUGAAUUAAUAAUGAUCUUUCAAACUUAACCCACUUGCACCGUAGAGGUGCAAUUUUUUUUUCUUUUCACGAUUGCAUCACGAGUAUUAUUUGCUGCCCGCAAAUGUUAAAUGUGUGUUAGUAAUCUAUUGCGGUCAAGAGCUCAUAGCUCAGCAUAUAAGGUAUUGUCCGCUUCGAUCCAUGGAUCUCACAGUUUUACUUUUUAAAAGACGUUUAAUGUGGAAAGAAUGGUCCAUUUCUAUUUAAGUCAGAGUUUUCUUUGACUCACAACUAAUGUGGGACUAAUGAAGUUCUCCAUUUUACAUCACAACAUAGCUCUUAGUCAAGAGAGAGUCUGCUCCUCCUUAUUUUUACAACAUUUCUUUUGGGAGAGUCUAUUUACGGACGGAAUGUGUCUUCCUCCUUAUUUUUACUAUAGUCCUUGGGAGAGUCUGUGUACGGACGGGAGGAAUCCCACAGUCCGAAGAAAGCAUAUAGGCCUCACGGUGGGCGUUAAUGUUACGGUUAAGGAUUCAUAAUUUGGUAUGUGAGAUAUUGUUGGCUUUGACUCAUAGACCUUAUAAUUUUAUAUUUUAAAAGAUGCCUCACGUGAGAAAGAUGAUCAUUUUCUAUAUAAAUUAAAAUUUUUUUUGACUGAUAACCAAUAUGAAACUAAUGAAGUCUUUCACUCUAUACCAUAACAUAAUCAUUUUGAGGUGAAAGCAUGUGAGCAUUCACUACAGGAAAACAUACGAGCACCACUGCUCAAAUGUCUUCCUUCAGUGAAAGUGACGACGGAAGACCUUUGUUUCCUCUCUAACACAAUUUUUUUGUGUUUUUUUUCUUCAGGAAGAAUGAAGAAAGAGUGAGGAAGCUUCUGCAGUCACUAAUGGAGAGAGAAUCAUUGUUCUUUUUGUAAUGGAGUAAACUCCCUAUUAAUUUGAAUGGGAGAAGAACCAUUGGAAACCAACCCAACUAUUCCCUCUGUUUCAGAUCGCCUCUUCUUUCAGCCAAGUCGGGUCAGCCCGUCAUGAAUGCCCAAACUGAGCCCAAUUUCGAACAUCUCAUUGUUAACCAUUAAUCUGAGCAGCACCCCGUGACAAAAAAUGUAUAAACAGCCUUGGAAAUUUGUGUCCAGUAGAAGUACCUCCCUAAAGCCACCUAUCCGGCUUGAGUAUAUGAAAAAGAAAGCUUCAAUAUACCAUCAACCAUGUGAGAUCCAAAAAUUCUGCUGUAAAAGAGGUAAAUUUCAAGCACUGCAAUGAUAAAAACAGAAACUAUCGUAGAACUAAUAUUGUCUACGGCACUCCCAGAGGUUGUAAAAAGAUAAUACUUUGGCACCUGUUGUAGCAUAGAAGGAAGGAUGUCUUUAAUCUCAUAUUAAUUGUGAGUUAAAAAAGAAUAUGGAUUAUAUGGAUUGAAACUUUCUCUCCAUCGCGAGAUAUUUUUUAUGAGAUAAAAUUAUGGGACUUCAAAUAAUCAAGAUCCAUUGAAAUUAAAAAAUGAUCAAAAUUAAAAUGAAUAAUAGUUAAUCCAAUCAUCCAAAUCAUCCGAUCUUUUGACCGCAAGAGCAUCCAUGGAUCAAUUGGGACAGAAGUAGACUCACCAAUUAUAUUGCAAAAACACGCUGCAAAUCAUAUCGGAUAGAUCUGUGCAUUGAGAGUAGCUCGCCAUGCCCAAGGCGCAUGCCUUGUGGACACGUUUCCACAUGAGAAUGUUAUCGUGAACCCUCUACUGUUUUCAAAUUGCCCUGGAAGAGUGAAUAGACUUGGCCGCUAUCUAGUCAAGUAUCUUCCCCUUAGGCGGCAGAGAUAAACCAAUUUGUAGACGGGACGAUUGGAAGGUAUACUCGGUGAAAUCCCUCUCUCCAUUUAUCAAAGAGGUGUGAUAUGUCCUCUUGACCCUGCACUACGGAAAGAAUUUGCUCCAGCAUAAAUCAAGAUAUUUAUGUGGCCGGCAAUGAAGAAUAAGAUCAACACGGGAUAAUUUCUAGAAAGGAUGGUACGCUAUGCUCAAUUAUCCCCUUUGUAAGCAAGUACUUCAGAGACCAUUUAAUCUUAUUCUCUUGAACCGCCAAGAAGUCCACACUUAUUGGAUGCUGAUGGGAACUCAACUGGGAAUUAGAUGGCCAAGGACAAUGACUCUCCGCAGCAACCUUAGUUGGAUUUCAAAAAGGAUAGGAAACUAAGGGGACAGGGCUCAACUUGGGACCUUUGGCUAUGGCAUACUCGACCUAGUUUGACAGUAACAGCAGAUCGUCUUAAAUAGAGAGGUCGUGGCGCAACAAACCCUACACAAAGUAGUGGAUAAUUUCAGAACAAAAUCUUGGCCACCUCAUCACGGUUCUUCAGGUUGGCACUCGUUUAAGACACAAAGUUGGGGAAAAUUUCACAGUUCCAUACGUACCCAACGAUCCUUGCAAUGCGGUUUUUGCAUCGUGCAAUCUUGUACCAUCAUGGUUGGCUGCCACAUUAUCCAUCUGGAAGAUGGAUAGCUUGUCUUCAUCCAUAAUGGAUUAUCUCAUUAUAUUUUAUAAAUAAAUAAAAGCCGUUAAUCUUCAAAACAAAUGAUGCGGUGGCUAGUCCAGGACAUACGGUGCAAAAAUUGCAUUGCAGAAGAUCCUAUCUCUAUCUGAGCUGCUGUCAAGAAAACCAACCACUAAAACGUAAGUCGCAAGGUGGGCCGGCAUCCGACCUGGCCCGCGUGGUUCCACUCGCUUCCACGAGUUUCUGUCCCUUCUGCGCCCUCCUCCCAUGUCCCGAACCUCCCUGCUGAUCGAAGCCAAGCUCUCAGAUCUUUGAUCCCAACUCCAAACCCCGCGACUCCGAGAGCCCUCCGCCCCCGCCGAUGUCUUCCAUGGCCGCCGCCUCCGCCGUUGUCUCCGUCACCAGCGCUUCACGCUACGGCUUCGCUCGGGUCGGAAGGACGAAUGCUCCGGCCCCGGCGUUCCUCCAUCUCUCCUCCAAAUUCCCGUUGGGGUUUCCCAAAAGCCCCUUCCGGGAUCUUACGCGUUCUUCCGUGUUCCAGAAAAAUCCCGGCUUUGUCGCGAAACCGCUGAGGACCCCGGGUGUGGCUUACGCUACCGCUGCUACCGAGAAGAGCAUCCAUGAUUUCACUAUCAAGGUCGAAUCUUGAUAUCUCCUUUGUGUUCUGGGCUGUUUAUUUCUUAUUGGGAUAUAUAUAAAUUCGAUUUUUGGUGGGAACGUAUCAUCAGAUGCUUUAGGGUUGCUUUCUAUGGAAAUCGUAUGGGAGUUGAUUUAAAUCGAUUAAAAUUCGAGAAGUGAGAUGUGAUGUAGGGUUUGAAGGGGAGGCAACCUAAGUUUCUGCGGACUUAGGCUGGCUGGUUGACAGAUAGCUCUGCUAAUUGGGAAGGUUCAGUCUCAAAAACAAGAAUAAUUUGCAAACUUUUAUACCCUGAAGUACUUUUUCCAAAUUACCAAUAAAAAUAGGAAGCGAAUGAUGGUUUGGUGAUGCGAGUUUUUCAUGUCAUAGAAUUGGGUCUCGUGAAACAUGGAGUUUCAUUUGUAUACAUGCAGCUAGGAUUGUUUUAUAACUAAGGGAAAUAAGUGUGUUUAAUUAAUGUUAACCAAGAGAGCCAAUAUUGGAUCGUGUGGACUGAAUCUAAGCUAUACUUAGGGGAACAUGAGUGUAGACUACCCCAGGUAUGCUUGACAAUUAACUUGCUUUUACUGAGGCUAGAGUAUUUUGGUGCAGGAUAUUGAUCGGAAGGAUGUUUCUCUGAGCAAAUUCAAGGGGAAAGUGCUAUUGAUUGUGAAUGUUGCUUCCAAAUGGUAACAUUUGUUCUCUCUAAAAGGCACAUUAGAUACUUAAUCUUUUUAGAUCUUGUAUUUCACAGGAGUCUUUGGGAGCUCUGAGUUCUAAUUUUUAUAUUUCACUCCUAACCAAAGAUUUGAUUGUGAAUGUUCAGUGGGUUGACGUCAUCAAAUUACACUGAACUCUCUCACAUCUAUGAGAAGUACAAAACACAAGGUAUAAUAGAAGAAAAUUCUGAUUCUCUUUUUCCUUUUAUAUUUGGAAUCAUGAUUUGAAUCAAUUGAUGUGAGUUUGCAAAAACUUUUGAGAACUAUACGUCUAUACCUUUUGUGCUGUUAAGAAUCAGCAUAAAAAUUCUAAGCUUUCAUUUCAUUUGUUUUUUCUUAUAGGAUGAAAUUGGAAAUAAAGAUCUCUAUAAAAAGUUUAAUACCAACUAACUUGCAAUUUUGGUUGUGCUGUUUAUUUUUCUGUGGCCUCUCUCUCUUCUUUUUUUCUUUUUCUUUUGUUGUUUCGUUUUUGGGGAGGGGGGUGGGUGGGGGGUUGGGUGGGGAGGGUGUGGGAGUGCUGAGGGAAGCAUGGAAUUCAAGAUCUCUUUCUGAGAAAUCUUAGUCAUGAAAAAUCUGAAGUCUGAAAUGAGGAACUUAAAAAUUAUAAAAUUCUUGCUAGUAAUAAUUUAACUCUCAGUGAACUUUCUAAAUACAUUGAUCCCGACCAUUCAAAAACUGUUGCAAAAACUGUUACUUCUUUAUUACCUGAGCACAGAACAUACGGAAUUAUGCUUCAAUUACAGAAUUCUCAUUAUAUUCUUUUGGUUUUCUUCAAUACCCUGUGCAUAGGACUUUCGGAAUAAUGCUUAAAUUAUGAGAUUUAUUUAUCAGUUAUAACAUGUUUUUGCAUUUUUUAAAUCUGUAUUUUUUAAUUUUCUUGUCACCAUUAAUUUUUCUUCUGUGUAUCAGCUUGUAUAUUAGUUGCUAGUAGAAUACUUCAACAUUUAUAACAUACAUGCCACAAAUAUUGACGGAUCUUUCACACCUGUGCAGAACAAACUGGAUCAGUUACCAAAUUGUUAUAUUAUUAGUAAAUUAUAUCAUUAUUCCUUAAUCCUGGUUACAGCUUGCUUGCAUCUUGAAUUCAAAACCUAUACCAAACACACUUCCAGGUCUAGAUCGAAUUGAUAUCUUAAUAUGUGUGCUUGACAGUGCCUUUUUUUGUCUCAUCUGGAGGUUCCAUAACAAGACAAGCAUCUAAUGAAACAUCCCUUAUGAUCUCUUUGAUUCAUCUUAGUUAUAUUGUGCAUACUAGGUGUGAAUAUCUAUAUUCUAUUUUGUAAGAUGUGGAUAUUAAGCUCUUCACUUUGUGUUCAUUCUGACCCCUUUAACAAAACCAAGAGGUCUCACCACCUCUCCAGCUUAUACCCAAACUCACAAGCAAACAGGAGAAUAUUUAGUCCAUAUUGCAGCACCUCUGAUGGACUUCAAAAUUGCUCAUAAAGAGAUGGUUACAGAAGGUCCAUCUGAAAACUGAAAUUGAGUAGUUGAACUGAUUGCUGCAGGUCUUUGAGUGCUAGUGCAUGUUAAAUGUGACUUUAUUACUGCUUUGCUUUCCUAACUGUUUGUAAGAUUUACAUUGUAGGAUUUGAGAUUUUGGCUUUUCCCUGCAAUCAGUUUGGGGGACAAGAACCUGGAUCUAAUUCAGAAAUAAAGCAGUUUGCUUGUACGAGGUACAAAGCAGAAUUCCCCAUUUUUGAUAAGGUAUGUCAAAUAUCCACCAAUCUGCAACACCUCCCGCAUAAACCAACAGAUGCAUGUAUUGCUGAUGUUUUCUAACUACUUUUCACCUGACAGGUUGAUGUUAAUGGACCAAACACUGCUCCAGUUUAUCAGUUUCUUAAGUCUAGCGCCGGAGGAUUUUUGGGUGAUCUUAUAAAGUGGAAUUUUGAGAAGUUCUUGAUUGACAAAAAUGGUAAGGUUGUGGAGAGAUACCCACCUACAACUUCGCCUUUCCAGAUUGAGGUAUGUGGUGCAGACUAAGAACACAAUCACGGAUAGAUGCUGCUUAUGGCUCAGGCCAUUUGACAUUUUAUAGCAUUGUGGCCGUGUAUAUAUUACUUGAUUGAUCAUGAAGAUGUUAGAAACCUCAACAGUAUGAUAACAUCAAAUCAGAACAAACAGACAUCAAAAUGGAUCUAAAUUUUAAUGAUACCCUGGAACAUGUUAACAGUACUCUCUCUCUCUCUCUCUCUCUCUCUCUCUCUNNNNNNNNNNNNNNNNNNNNNNNNNNNNNNNNNNNNNNNNNNNNNNNNNNNNNNNNNNNNNNNNNNNNNNNNNNNNNNNNNNNNNNNNNNNNNNNNNNNNNNNNNNNNNNNNNNNNNNNNNNNNNNNNNNNNNNNNNNNNNNNNNNNNNNNNNNNNNNNNNNNNNNNNNNNNNNNNNNNNNNNNNNNNNNNNNNNNNNNNNNNNNNNNNNNNNNNNNNNNNNNNNNNNNNNNNNNNNNNNNNNNNNNNNNNNNNNNNNNNNNNNCUCUCUCUCUCUCUCUCUCUCUCUCUCUCUCUAUCUAUAUAUAUAUAUAUAUAUAUAUAUAUAGUUUGUAUGCAUGCAUGCAUUUCCAUAUAUAACUGAUGUCUCUUCCCUUUUAUUGCAUUUAGUGGUAACUUUAUACUUGAACAUCUUGAGAGUCAUUUUCUUUGAAAUGUAAUAAUUUUCUUCCAAAUACCCCGAGUAAUAAUAAGACUUCACUGCUAGAAAUCCUUGUGGCAACUUAUGCCAUGCCAAUGCGAGAUAGUAGGGAUAGUAGGGAUCCUCCCUCCUGCUCAUUCUAUUUGUUUACGGUAUAGAUUUGCUCUAAUUAUUCUGCAGCAACAUGAGGUUCUAGUUGUUAUUUGUUGUUUGACCGGAACAGUCCCACCAAAGCAGAAAAAAACAAUUGCCAAGAUGUACUCAAUAGAUCUUGCAAACUUGCAAUGAUGCAUACAAAGAUAGGUUCUUUGAAUUUUAGUUUAUUUUGACCUCUUUUUUUUUGGGGGGGGGUGUUGUUGGCGCAAUAAGGGAGGAACACAUAACAAUUUGAGUUAGCCAUUCUGAUAGCGCUUUUAGGGCAAGUAUAUUGGAGAUGUGUUUUUUUCUGUUUCUGUUAAAAGAUUCUCUGGAUGAUGAUCUAGAUCAGUCUGCAUUCCCUUAUUUUGUAGGAGCACUUCUCAGAUUGACAUUUAUCUUCUGCUACUCCACCCCAAAAAAGCUCUGUACUACAAAAAUAAUCUCCACUCAAGCAAUGAGCUAUAGGCAAACCAUGGAUCGAAGGUUACACAUUGUAUUAGAGAAUGAACCUUAGCUAUAUGAAUUUAUGUGCCUUACAGGAUAGGAAUUAAUGAAAAUACCUGAUCAUAAACAUGUUAAUCUAUGCUUGUUUAAACAUUGAUCAUGAGAAGAUCCUUCAUAUACCAAUGUGAAUCCUUCUGUGUGGGGCACAAUUCUGCUUCCCCUAGUGCAAGUUCUGAUAAGGUUGGAUGGUGGAAUAUGGGCUAAAAAGAAUUAAUGAUUGACAGUCUGAAACAAAAUGUGAGAUGUUGUAUGACAUCAUAAUAGUACAAACAUUAGAUGGCCCCAUUUGAUCUCAAAUCAUAAAAGGUAAAUUGAGUCUGACCAUUUUAUUAACUGGAACAAAAAAUUAAUUUUACAUCUUAAACUUAAGGAUUUAACUUUAAUUUCCCAGAAAAUAGCAAUUGGUUACACAGUUUCAGUGAUUUGAGCAUGUUUCACUCUUAAAGUAAUAUGGUCCAUCCAGUGGGUUAUCAAUUGAUCUGAUGUAUAAGUGAACUAAUUAUAUGUUUACAAUGAUCUUUCUUGUUGUUUGCUGCAUCACCGUGUCAUGCUUCUUAAUUCAGUAGUUUGUACUUUGUAGCAUUUAUAUAUGAUACUAUGUCAGUCUGGGCUUAAAUAGCUUUUUUUUCUUUCCUUCCAAGAGUUAUCCAAAUGAAAUAAAAGAAAAGAAAUGCGACCAAAAUAUAAUGUGAAAGGGAAAAGAGAAGAAAUUCUCUGGAUCAUGAUGACGACCCUUCCGCUAUUGCCCUUCUUCCAAAAUGCUCUGUUUGCUAUUUCUUUAUAUGGAAUUCCUGGUACUUGGAUCUCAUUGAGCUUUUCCCUUUCUUGUUUUUUUGCAGAGGGAUAUCCGGAAACUCCUUGCAGCUUAAAGUACUUGGUUCCAAUACAAAUGUAAAUACAGCACCGUGCCAUGCAUUCCAGUGUUUACCUUAAGACUCCUUGGAAGUUUGUUAUUUUAGUAGUCCUUUCAUGUGGCAACCAGAAGGUUUUGUAGUUUAUAUUCAGUAGCAUUCCUUUAUGUUCUGAUCAUACGUCAUUACGUUCGCAAGUAUGAAGAGGAAAGAUAUAUUUUAAUAGCAUUGUACUUUGGUAUCUAUUUAUUGAUUUUUUUUCCUAAAAUAAAGCACCAUUAUAAUAGCUAUUCGUAGUCACGAGAUGAUUUUCAGCAACAAAUUGGUCCCUUAAUGAGUUCAUUCCUGCCAACAAUUUAUCUAUUUCAGUUACAUAUUCCCAGGGACAAGAAUUGAACUUUGCUUGUCAGGUUUCCGGUGUUCAUCUACCUUUGUGUUAUUAGCUCCCACUUUUGAAGACAAAUCUACUGUGGGACUUUGAGACGUUUGCCAUGAAUGCAGGUAUUCUUGUGCAGGACUUCUCCAAGGGAUGUGUGAUGCAAAGAUGGGUAAGAGAAGACCUGGUUAUGGCAUGAAUAUGAUAAAGACCAUGAGGGUAAUAAAUAACUUGGUGUAGAGGAAAUGACAUUCCAGCCCAUUAUUUUACCCCUCAGAAGACCUUGUUAAUUCUGGUUAAAUGAUGAACUCCGGACAUCUGAUGUUUCCUCAUCCCUUUUUUUAAUAUAUUUAGCAGUAGCUGAUACAAGCAAGUGAUUGCAUGGUACCAUGUACAUCAGAUGAAUUGAGGUCAGGCUAUGCAAUAAAGCUUGAAGAAUGCAUCGAACUGGUCUUUAUAUUUUUUGAGGAAAAUGAGGUAGUGCUUGUUGAAUUCGGUUAAAAGCAAAGACAAGCUUCUUGCGCUGCAUUUGGAAAUGCUACAAGGGAGGAAGUGAUUCAUUUAAUUUCAUCCCGUUUCAAUCAAAUAUUUGUUGAAUACCGGAAUGAAAUUAUUCUGUAGAAGUGUGAAAAGAUAUUCCUGAAAAAGGUACAUAAUUUUUUUAUGUUUUAAUUAAUUUAUUUUAUUUAAUCGAGAAGUCGAAGUAUAUUAAUUCAUUUAUUAUGGUCUAACUGGUUCCAUUUUCGAAUGUAGUUUGAAAGAGAAAAAAAAUACUUGAAUUAGGGAUUAUGCAGGGAAAAAACCAGACAAUCUGGUGAUCAACUGGCCAUGGUACCUGAAAAUAUUAACUUGUACGAUUUUUUUUGAGAAUUCUUUUUUCUCAAAAAAAAAUAAAUUUGUAUAAUUUACUUUAGCAUUAGUCGAAGUAGCACGGAAUUAAAUGCAUGAAAAUAAUUUUUAAAUAUUAUUAUCUUAUUUUUCAGAUAUUAUUAUAUUUUUAUUAUUAUUUAAAUUAUUAUUAAUAAUAAAUUAAUAUUUUAAAAAUAAUAUUNNNNNNNNNNNNNNNNNNNNAAUAUUUAUUAUUAUUUUAAAUUAAUAUUUUUAAAUUAUUAUUAAUAUUAUAAUAAUAAUUAUUUUUUCUCUAUUUUUAAAAUAUUUUUCUUUUUUUCUUUUUUUCCUCCCGCCACCCCCGUCCCCACAAUAUGAGAGCCAGUUUACGGCCAUUCGCGUUAUCCCUAUUGCGGCCCCGCCCCAUCGCAGUCCGCAUCGGAUGCAUGAAAAUAAUUUUUCUAAUGUUGUUGUGUUAUUGUUAUUAUUCAAAUUAUUACUUAUAAUAAAUUAAUAUUUUAAAAUAAUAUAUUUAUUAUUAUUUAAAAAAUAAUAUUUUUUAAAGUAAUGCUUUAUUAUUAAUUUUUAAAAUAAAUUUUUAAAAAUCAAUAUGUUAUUAUUAUUAAUAGUAUUUUUAAAAUAAUAUUUAAAAAAUAAUAUUUUUAUUAUUAUUUUAAAAUUAAUAUUUUUUCUACUUCAAAUUAUUAUUAAUAAUAAAAUAAUAAUAUAUUUUUUUAUUUUUUUCUUUUUCCUCCAUUCCUCAAAUAUUUUUUUAAAAUUAAUACCUUAAAAAAAUAAUAUUUUAAAUUAUUAUUAGUAAUUAAAUAAUAAUAUUUUUUUCCUCAUCCUCUUCAAAUAUUUUUUUUCUUUUUUUUCCUUUCCUUCCCUUCCUAUCGCCCUCCCCCUCCCCAAAUAUAUUUUUUUAAAUUAAUAUCCUAAAAAAUAAUAUUUUAAAUUAUUAUUAAUAAUAAAAUAAUAAUAUUUUUUCCUCCCUCCUCUUCAAAUUUUUUUUCUUUUUCCUCUUUCUCUUCCCUUCGUCUCCCCCCACCCCCUGCCCCCGCCCCUGCCACGUCCUCCGGCUCCGGCACCACUAACCCCCCUCUCCUUCCCUGUGUGGUCCUGUCCCAUCGCCAUCCCCUCCUAUUUCCUUCUUUGACCCUGGCAAACCCAAGUCCUCGUGACUCCGCACAAGCACCGGCAAUUGCCCCUCCCCUCUCCCGGCUCCGGUUCCAUCAAUCUGACCCCACCCCACCGCCAUCCAUGCUGCACUCGCCGUCUGUAUCGUACCUAGCUCCGUGCGACCGCCAAACCCCCUCCCCUUCCUUCCCUGGCUCUGAUGCCACCAACCCUCCUCCCAUCCACUUGACGGCUUCGCCCCAUCACUGUCCCCUAGGACCCCUACUGUUCCCCAAAAAGUCUGGAUUCCUGGCCACUGUCGCUCUCCUGACCAACUUCCUUUUCUUCAAUAUCUUGAAUUUCUGUUUCCGAUGGGUCCAGUAACCGUCCUUAACGCCGUUUGAGGAAAAUGGAUCGUAGACUGACGGGAGAGAGAGGCUGCCGUCAUCGUCGGAGCUGUUGCUCGCGAGUAGGUCGAAGGACACAUUUCACUCGAUGGACAUGGGCGAAGAAAUUCGAUAGAAUUUGAUUGAAAGAAGAAAGGGAUGGGCGUCCGAAGAUCUUGAGAAACUUCGAAGGAAAAAAAAAUUGGGAGGAAGGAGGUGGCGAUGCCUCAGGGAGAUUGAAAGGAUGGACCUAUGUCGAUGAUGAUUGGGAGGAAGGUGAUGGUGGAGAAUGGUAGAUGAUGGUGGUGAGGAGAGCGGGGAAGAGAUGAGAAAAAAAAAGUCGGGAGGGACCAGAAAGCUUUGUAAGAAAAAAUAAAAUAUUUAUGAGAAAGUUGGAGUUCGACUCGUGAUGUGUUGAGAGGAUUUUUGACUUUCUAAAUUAGCGAACACUUCGAUACUCCUUUAUAAAUAAAUAAAUAAAUAAAUAAAUAAAUAAAUAUAUAUAUAUAUAUAUAUAUAUAUAUAUAUAUGNNNNNNNNNNNNNNNNNNNNAUAUAUAUAUAUAUAUAUAUAUAUAUAUAUAUAAUGCGGAAUGAAAUGAACCAUGCAUGCUGCUAUCUUCUCAAUUUUUCUCUGACGUGGGAGGCGGUUUGGUUAUGACCCAUGCGGGUUACAAGAUCAGUAGAUUUUGUCUAAUAUUUUCUAAGAUAAACAUUAUGAAAAAUAGAAAAAGGUAAUCGUACAUGCGGUGAACGGACCGCAACCGCAAGCGAAGACGGUACGGAAAAAAAUAUAGUUAUUUCAAUUUCAGAUUGCAAAUGCAUGCAAUUUUAGGAUAUAUAUUAAAACACCGAGAAAAAUCGGGCAAACCAGUGCGUCUCCUACCUCGAUCUCUAAUGGUGGAAUUGGGGUUAGGAUUUCCAUCUCCACGUCCAAAAGAGCUAUCGAUCUCACUCCAAACCCUUCUUUUCUUUCUAUUUUCUUGCAGAAAUCCUUUUUCCAGUGGGGAAUACUUCCUCCAUGCUCACCUUGCAUGACAUCGAAGAGGUCCGGGAGCGCUGCAACCACGCCUUAAGUUCCUCCGCAUCCCUUCUUUGGUCCGUUCCUCUUGUAUUUAUAGUUCCGCUACUCCGUUCCUGCCACUCCGAUCUCCGCUUGUUCUCCGGUUUCUAGGGUUUUGAUUAGGUUAUAAUGUUGUCAUGUUUUUGAAGCUUUGCUCUUUCUUCUAGUAAAGAUUCGAAAUUUCAGUCUCGCAGCAAGAGAUUGUCUCCCUUACCUCAUGUUCUGUCAGCUUGAUCGCAUCAGUGGAGGAUUUAUCGCUGCAUUCAAUCCUCUCUCUCAGGUUCACCAUUCUUUUUUUCUUAUAGGAAAAAAGUUUGCUUUUUAUUUUUUGAUUCAUUUGAUUAGGUUUUGAUUGUGAUUAGGUAAAAUUGUUGCUUAUUUCAGAGGUUAUUUAGGAGAUAGAGGGUUUGAAUUUUAAGGAAUUUGUUGCAUUUUUGUCUGCAUUCAGUUCUCGCAUGAGUCUUGUUCGUAUUUUGUUUGCAUCAUGAUCUCUAUGUUGGUGUCCUUUACAUUAUUUCAUUGCGUUAGUUUUAUUCAGAGUGUAUGAUUUGGACGGCAACGGGGAGGUUUUGUUCAACGAUAUAUAGUGUGUUUUGCAGGACUUGACAGGGUCUUUUAUGAGUUAGCAGCACAGAUGGAUUAGUAAAAUCCUGUUUUUUUAGUUCUUUAGUCACUCGUCUGAAAAUCCUUGUUCAAGAUUGCAGUUAUUGAUCUGCUCAUCUUCAUAAAUAUCAAUAUUGCAAACAUAUAUAGUGUGUGUCACAUGGAUAAGUUGUAUAUGGAAGUUGUUGCAUUCCAUCUUAGGAUAAUCAUGCGUUUUGUGCAUGGUGUUGAAGCAUAAAACCAGAAACAUUAAUGAUGUAAUCCAUGUGUUUCAGACACUAAAAGUCUAUUCCUAAUUCAAUUAAGAAAGUGGACAUCGGAAUUUGUGGGUCCCUUCUGUCAUCCAUGAAAUUACAUAAACAUGAGAAGCAUUUAUGGCGUGAUUUGAUUUAUGUCAAAGUAUCACUAACGGUAUGUUGAUGUUGCAGUUUCUGAAGUAUGGAAAAUGUGAAGCUAUUUCUCGAAGAAAAGGCAGAGUCUUCAAUUAAUAUGGUGCUUAGCCAUAAAUCAACUUAGUCAGUGUAGAUUCCUUAGGUCCAUACAAAUUGAUAUUCAUAUUCAAUACCAGAUUACCCCAUAAACAUUUUAUAGGAUGAUUUAGGAUAAAUACCUCGAAAAUUUAAAUCUUUUAAGUUGUGAGAUCGAAUUCCACUGACCUUGAAAACAACACCCCCACUCGAUUCUCGCUCAAAUUCAUGUUGCAUGUAACCUUUUGUAAAAUAUCUUCUGGAUCCUCUAAUGCUACACAGUCAAGCUUGUGAAGUAAAAUCACACCAUUGACUUCAUUGUAAUUGUUAUUUACAAUUAUGGAGCACCUUAACUGCUUCAGAUCAAGUGCCAGAACUGCUUUAGUUCCUAUAAAUACUAUAAUCUACUGCUUUUACUCAUCAUGCAAGAUACCAUAUGGAUGCCCCUUUUAGUAUUUAGUAUCCUUUCUCAAACAUCUAGGUGUCUCUUUUUUAGGGAAAGGAGAUAGAAAACCAGCCUGCCAUCUCAUAAUUAAUUAUGAAAAACACCAUAAAGAGCAGAAUGCCUUGCAAGGUGCACAGAUGGUUUUCAAUCUUCAAUAAGUUUUACACUCUUCAUUGUUUGCCCCAAAAAAAAAAGAAAGAGAGAGAGAGAGAGAGGUAUUUCCCAAUCAAAAUGCUUCUGCUAUCUCACAGAUAUCAGAGGCUUUAAAAUCUAAUACUUUCCCAGAUUUUCUUUUGAUAUCUUACCUGCAAAAUAUGAAAAAGCAAAGAACCUAUAUAAUUGUCAGCUUAUACACUCUUUUUCUUACUUAAACUGGAGAUUUUCCAUCCUGCGUUUGUUGGAUUGUUGGCAUAUUGGCUCUUCACAAUUUUGUGUUACUUUCUGCAUGUUGAUGUUUAUAGAUUUACUCUGGUUUAAAAACUGCUUAAGUUGAAGAUUAUGUCUUGAUACCAAGUUUUAUUUAUUUUUACUAGAAAGUUUUGACCCAUGUCCUAGAAGAAGCAGGGCAUGCAAAGAAUUCCUCACUUUUCCUAUCUGACUUCGUAAGUGUAUUUAUCUUUAUCUAAAGCUCACAUCUCCAUCUGAUUCUGUGUAUGUUUGAGUUCAUGAAAUUCAAAAUUUUGAUUGAAAGAUGUAAUGAAUGUUGCUUUGUACUAAAAGUUUUAAAAGUUCAUCAGCAAUAUCUCUUGUUCAAAUGUUGGAGUCUUUUAGUUCAUCCAUUUCUGUUGUUGCACUGGAGAUUAUAUGCUAUGGGUGUCUAGGAAGGAUGACACUUAUCAAGCUAAGAUAAACUAUUAAUGUUUUUACAUGCUGAUACAUGAUGUUUGACGAAACCAUUAGGGUUCGUUUGGUUGGGGGGAAUCUGGCAUGGAAAAAUGAAUCCUAUGUUAGAUUAUCAUAUUUGGUAUGAAAAAUGGAAGAGGGAGAUGGUAAAAAAAUUAGUGGAUCCCAUGUUUAUUUUUCAGAGAGAGAAGGUAAAACAAAUACCGUGAGGGGUUUGGCAUUUGGUAAAUUUUUGAGUGGUGGUAAUUCAUACUUAACAAAAAUAUACUCAAUAAAAUUGCAUAUAUAAUCAUUGAAUUUGUUUUGAUGUCUUUCCAAAUUCAUUCAGUAAAGAGCUUUUGUGUAAAAAUUAAGAUGAAGAUGGCAUUAUGCAAAGGGUUAUGUGAUUAUAGUCAUUAUAUUAAAAAUUGAUGGAGAUGACAAUGCUAUCUUGAUAUUAAAAAAUUAUUUUAUAUUGAAGGGCACAUUUGUAAAUUUUACCAUAUCCCCAUAUAGGACUAUCUCCAACUAAACAUGGUAAUCUUUUUUCAGUAUCAUUUUUUGAAGUAAUUUUUCCAUCAACUAAAUGUAGUAAAAAUUAUUUUUCUCUACAAUUAUUUUUUCAGAUAAAUGAUUUUUAGGAAUUGUUAGAUUAUUCUGUAAUUUGACAUACCCCAACCAAACGGGCCCUUAAGUUUUAAGAGAUUUAUGCGCAACACGACAUCAAUUUCCAAAUGAUAAUAUGGAGAAUUGUUUAGAUUUGACAAUAUGUUUUUGUUUUUCUAUGCACUGUAUCAUCUCUCUUUGGGUGAUUUAGGUAGACCGUAGACUACAAAUCUCAACAGGAGUUAGGCAAAUCAAGAGGAACCUUGUAUGAUUUAUUGACCAUAUAGCAUAGAUUAAAAUGACAAGUACCUAUUUAUGAGUUAAGAAUAUAUGUUCUGUAUAUGUGGGCAAGAACUAGGAAAUUAGGACUUGCCUAUGUGUUCAGUGCUAACAGCAGUAUGAUCAAGAGGACAUCACAUGGUUGCCAUUUUAAAAUCCAUUUAUCUAAGAGAGCUGUGCUUAGGUGGUGGAGUGUUGUUUGAUGCCUAAGGAGAAGACCCUUGACAACAGCACUAGGGGGUGAGGAAUUUUUUCUCGCACAAUUCUUAGAGGUUUGACUAAAUUAACAUGCCUAUUGAUAUGUUGGGACUGAUUGGUUUUGGUUGUGAUUGCCUUAGUUGUGAUUUCUUUCCCCCGCUUCUGGAUGUUCAUGCUGUUCUUUUGUUUUCCUUUUGUUUUUUGUUUUGUUUUUAAGUUCUAAACGAUCCCUUCUCUAGCCAGGGUUGCUUUAAGGAAUCUUUUUUGCAUACUCUCUUGUUCUUCCUGCUGUUAGUUAGAAAGAAACUUUUAUGAUGUUAAUAGCUGAAUAACUUCUCAUGUUUCACACAGAUCCCUGUCAACUCUGAUUUGAAGAUGGAGGUCGAAGUUCCCAUUGAUAAGCAAAUGUCACUGGGAUACAAUUCUUUUAUUCAAUUAUCACCUCAUUUGGUUAUAUAAUUAGGUGAGAAGGCCUACAAUUGUGGAGUAUCUUUUGUGUGAUGACAUGGAGUAGUGCUCUCUGAAACGAGUUGUCAAUUCCAUUAUGGCUUUCUGAGGCCAUUUUGAUCUGUAAAGCUCAUUUGAAUGCUUUGUCCUAUUUUACUUUGCGGUAGAAUUUAAAAAAUGCAGUGUACCGAUGUGCAGUAACUGCUGCAACUUAUAUUUUCGCAUGGAGCAUGGCAAUAGUUCAACUAAUCUGAUUGUGUUUAGGAGGAGAAAAAUUAAUUGCUGUUAGUCGUUAAAUAAUACUUUUUCUGUCAAACCAGAUUUAUGGGAGAAAAUAUGAACUUUAAAUUGGACUUUCUCACUGCAAACAAUCUGUGAAGCAUAUUAUAUGGAAUGCCUGAUUGGACGAGAUACAUAGGCAUGUGCUGGGAAGCUUUUAGUGUUUCCUUCCAGAAUUUAUAUUCUGGCGCAUUUACUGUAAAACUUGAUAUUAGUUUUGUUUUGUGGUCCUCAAAAAUUCAAUAGCGCACAGGACCGAACGCUUCCUGCACUGGAUUUUUGCAAUGCUUUGAUUCAACUUAAAAAACUGCUUGCAGCGUACUAUUGCUCCAGCAAUUGGAAGUAGCUCUCUUCCAACUCAGUGUCUCCAGGUCUCGGAGAGGUUUAGUGUUAUAUCCGGUGAAUUAGGCCACUCUUUGCACGAUAAUUCUGUGGUGCCAGAUGUCUUCCGGGCAGUCUUGGCAUCUAAUUCCAUGGAGAGCAGAUAGGUCUCACAAAUGUAGCAACUCUGGGAUACGCACGAACAUUUGGUAUCUUAAAUAUUCACACAUAAGUUGGCAUGCUCUGUUAGUGACAUUUUGAAAGAAAAUUUGGGAUAUUAUUCGAUUUGCAAUGCUAUAAAAUUUUUAUUUCAAGGUUAAUUAUUCAUAAAUUAAUCAUUUGCCAAAUAAUUCAGUGAAUUAUCUACAAAGAAUUGCAUCAUUCACAAAUAACUCUCUCAAAAACAAUUCAUGGAUUGCUUAUGAAUUAUUAGAUAGCAUUAUUCUUAUCAUUUUUCAUGCAAUGAUAAUUGCCUGUACAGAAACAUCUGGUGGUGUGGAGUUUGAUUUUUCUUUAAGGAGACUAGUCCGACACACACACACCGUUAAAGCUUGUCACUUUCUUUGGCUGCAAAGUGGUUAAUUAAUAUUAUUAUUAUAUUAUUCUUAUUAUUUGAUUAUUGUUAUUAAUUUUUUGAGACUGAUACGUAAGCACGAGCACCUUUACUAAUCCAGCUAGUUGGCAACCUGAAUGGGGCAUUACGGCAGGUCUCGUCACGUGCGAUGCAUGCAUGCGCCUGGCACGAACACUUGCACGCCUAAGUGAUACCAAAACGAGGCGCCCUCACGUGCCGAUCCCUCAUCCUUGCUCCGAGCUCCUCGACGGCAAUGAUUCCUCACAAGUGCGGUAACCGCGUGCCGCUGGAUCCAGCACGUGCGACGUCCGUCCUUCCGUUCCUCCUUCCAGGUAGUUUCUACCAGCCUUUUUUCUAGCCGUUGGUGCUUGAACCGGGCCUGAAAAAACGAAAAAACGAAAAAAAAGAAAAGAAAAAAAAAGGGGAAAAAAGCGCGUCGAGGAACCGCAGAAAACAAGAAGCGGGGUGGGGGGUUGUAAAUUAGAGAUCGGGUUGUAUCUUUCGCGGGAAAGAAUGAUUAAUCUUUUCUCGCGACACCGACUGUCGGAUCGCGCAUUGCACGGCUCUCAAAGCGCUCUGACCUCUUCCUCUAUCCGCCAUCACAUCUGUUGAAGCGGCCAUUGCGCAAUCCAACGGUUCACGUCGCGAAAGAAGGUGAAUCAUUCUUUCGUGCGAAGGAUACAACCCAAACCCAUAAUUAGAAGAGAGGGAAACAAAACUCUGGCUCGAAACAAGAAGCGGGCUGGCGGGCGAGCGAGAAGAAAGCGCAAAAAGAGGACGGGAGGAAUAAAUAUAGGGGAAGGCUCCAGGCUUGGAUUCCAACCGGACGUUGGAUUCCUUUCAACCCCGUUCCUGUUACCCUCCAUCCGUUUGCAACUCUAUUUAUUGACUUGGUUCUUCUUCUUUUGUCGAUUUCAUUUGUUUAAAAGGAAAAAACAAGGCCAUAAACAAACUCAUGUUAUAUAGAUGGGGACGCAUUCUAAUUCAGUGAAGGGGGUGAGUUCUCAUUACUUUAUUGGAUGCAGAUGCUCACCCUUUCUUUUUUUUUUUUUUNNNNNNNNNNNNNNNNNNNNNNNNNNNNNNNNNNNNNNNNNNNNNNNNNNNNNNNNNNNNNNNNNNNNNNNNNNNNNNNNNNNNNNNNNNNNNNNNNNNNNNNNNNNNNNNNNNNNNNNNNNNNNNNNNNNNNNNNNNNNNNNNNNNNNNNNNNNNNNNNNNNNNNNNNNNNNNNNNNNNNNNNNNNNNNNNNNNNNNNNNNNNNNNNNNNNNNNNNNNNNNNNNNNNNNNNNNNNNNNNNNNNNNNNNNNNNNNNNNNNNNNNNNNNNNNNNNNNNNNNNNNNNNNNNNNNNNNNNNNNNNNNNNNNNNNNNNNNNNNNNNNNNNNNNNNNNNNNNNNNNNNNNNNNNNNNNNNNNNNNNNNNNNNNNNNNNNNNNNNNNNNNNNNNNNNNNNNNNNNNNNNNNNNNNNNNNNNNNNNNNNNNNNNNNNNNNNNNNNNNNNNNNNNNNNNNNNNNNNNNNNNNNNNNNNNNNNNNNNNNNNNNNNNNNNNNNNNNNNNNNNNNNNNNNNNNNNNNNNNNNNNNNNNNNNNNNNNNNNNNNNNNNNNNNNNNNNNNNNNNNNNNNNNNNNNNNNNNNNNNNNNNNNNNNNNNNNNNNNNNNNNNNNNNNNNNNNNNNNNNNNNNNNNNNNNNNNNNNNNNNNNNNNNNNNNNNNNNNNNNNNNNNNNNNNNNNNNNNNNNNNNNNNNNNNNNNNNNNNNNNNNNNNNNNNNNNNNNNNNNNNNNNNNNNNNNNNNNNNNNNNNNNNNNNNNNNNNNNNNNNNNNNNNNNNNNNNNNNNNNNNNNNNNNNNNNNNNNNNNNNNNNNNNNNNNNNNNNNNNNNNNNNNNNNNNNNNNNNNNNNNNNNNNNNNNNNNNNNNNNNNNNNNNNNNNNNNNNNNNNNNNNNNNNAUAUAUACAUAUAUAUAUAUAUACAUAUAUAUAUAUAUACAUAUAUAUAUAUAUAUACAUAUAUAUAUAUAUAUAUACAUAUAUAUAUAUAUAUAUAUAUAUAGCAUUUGUUAUCUGCUUGGAAGAUUGUUGAAGAAGAUAGUGCUAACCUUGUUAUUAAUUUUAAAAUAUAGAAUCUUGCUCUUGUUAGAACCGAUGCAUAUACAUGGUUAGUAAAAGUUGUUUCGAGUAUACACCAGAUGGUUGCACUUGUUAAAUUUAUCAAACUUGAAUUCAUCAUAAUCUUGAAUCUACAUGCCUGAAUUGUAGCUAUGCAAAUGUCCUGUGAAAUUAUGACAUACAACCCACAGCCAAAAAUCUUUCUUUUUGUGGAGAUAAGAUUUCUAAAUUCACUAUAUGUUUGCAUGAAAAUGACCAAAUUUUAUUUUUUUUCAUAUAAAUCACAUAGAAUCUAUUGCCUUUGGUGGUGCAAGAGACUCACAUUCACUAUGUGCCUCCUAACUUCAGAUACAUUCUCUCUGCUUGGGUACUCUGAAAUUAGAUUAGCAGGCCCCAAGUAUAUGUUGGCUUUUGAUUUCCUCUUCUUCACCUUCAAUUUUAGCAGAUAACAAUCAGCACAGAUAAUCUUUAGAAAAAUAGGAAUGUUUCUCUGCAUUAGUGCUGCUUGUAGUCCAAGUGAAUUACCAGAUUGGCACUUGUUGCAAUUACUCUACAAUUCUGCAUGAAAAACAAAAGGGGUCAUAGAAAAAAUUCAUGAGGUCAUCUUUCUGAAUUUAAAUUAGAAAAUUUAAGCCUUGAUAACUUGAAUAAGAAAUUCUUUUUAAUACAUAUGUGUACAUGACAAAUAUUAGAGCUAAUACUGUAAUUUUUCACAGAAUCUUUAUAUGCCACCAGCUGUUAUAUAAAUGAUGUGAGGUUAAUUUCUCCCACACUUUGUCUUGAACAUAUCAAUAUGCAUGUGAUUGUUGUUACAUGGCAACUAGUUCUGCUAUUCAGGGUUAAUUUUAAAGAUUCAACAAAGAACAUGUGAAUAAUUAAAGAAAUUCACAAUAUCCCAUAGAAUUACAUAUUCAUAAGAUGUUUAGUUGUUAAGAGACGUCAAAUUGAGCUGUCGUCAAUGAAUAAAGUUUUGUGAGUUAUAGUUUAACUAUUGAAACUGAGAUAUAUUUGCAUUAUAUGGGUCAUGAUACAGGUUGAAGGACAUUGUUGCUUUUGUUUGUGGGUUGGUAGGUGAAUCCAAGCGAGUGCUGGCCAUGGCUGAUAACGAGGUUGCUGUUUUAAAAGAAGCCCUUUGCAACCAGUACAUUAUAAUUAAAAAGCUUUACAUGGAGCUAGAGGAGGAGAGAGAAGCUUCAGCAACCGCAGCAAGUGAAUCUCUAUCCAUGAUAUUGAGACUUCAGAGAGAAAAGGCUGUCGAGAAGAUGGAAGCACGCCAAUACAAGAGAAUGGCAGAGGAAAAGAUGCAUCAUGCUGACGAGUGUUUGGCGAUUCUCAAGGAAAUUAUGCAGCAGAAAGAAAUGGAGAUUUCAAUCCUCAAGUACCAACUGCAGGCAUAUAAGCCCAAGUUGUUAACUGGUCUCAAUAAUGGAGAAAUAGGAACUUCCGAAAGUUUAUUUUCAUGCGGAAUUAAUGACUCCUCGGACAAUGCUAGCUUCCAUGGUUUUUUUAGAAGGAAUGUCUCUUUGCCUUGUCUACGAUUGGAUAAACUGUGUUCUGAGAUGGACACCGUUAAUGGAUGCAGUCCAUUGUUUCCUUCUGGGCAAUCAGUCUGGAGGAAGAUUGGUGAAUACACUAGCCAGCUAUCUGAAAGAUAUAAAGAAAGUGAAAGGCCAGACUUAUGUGAGGUUUCUGUAAGUGAAGGUCACAAUUCUGAAGAAGUAAAUGUGAAGGCUAAAGCUGAGUCAAACUUGAGAAGCAAUGAACAUCAAAGAAUCACAAGUGCUUGUCUUGCUAAUUCAGGAGAUGUGUCUACAUCUUGUUCAUGGUGUUCGAUAGUAAGUGGUGAGACAUCAUAUCAUUCAACUGUAGGAGGCAUAGAGUCAAAUUUAGAUGGUGAAUGUGCUUUGUCUUCAGCUUCUCAAGCUGAAGACCUGCACAAGUUAUCAGAGUGUGAUGAUCUUGGUAAUUCAUGUCUUCAAAUUGAAUCAAAUCAAAGCACAGUCCAUUCUGCCUAUAUCCAUGACAUAUUUGAAAUCCCAGAAAGUUGUAAGGGUUGCAAUCCUAGUGAACCUCUCAAGCAAGUGUCAGACGAAUUUACCCUGGAGACCAAGGACAUGAUUGGAAUGCCCAACUUAACGCCACAAGAAGCAGCAGACUACCUUUUCAAAGAUGAUGAUUGGUUAAGCAGGGCGUUCAUGUAUAUGAACCAUGGAAGCAGGUUAUCCACACCAAAGCAAGGUGCUCCAGAUUACCUUACAGACAUGCCAUCUAUGCGAAUAAAAGGGGCUUCGUUGAACUACCACAGGAUGCUUGUGGAUCCUCAAGUUGGUACAUCUACACUCGAGACUGAUUUUGAACAGAUCAAAGAACGGUUACAGCAUAUUGACUAUGAUAACAUUAUGAAGCUGGAUGAUUCUGAGAAGGGCAAGGAACAGUUGAAGUUAUUGAGAGAGAUCUAUGAGCUGCUCAACACAAUAGAAUCCCACAUUAGAAGUUUUAAAUGUCGGAAGUACCCUCCAGAGGAUGACUCCCCAUUAGUCUCUGUUAUGGAGGUACACCGGCUAGUUUUCAAACCUUGAAAUUUUCUUUAAAAUCAGAAGGAAGAUAAUUGUAAAUUUCCUGAGUCAUUCUAAGUGGAUGUCUCACAGCAGUUUCUUUAGUUGUUUGUUUUAAGAUCACAUCUUAAAUGGAUGCUGAGUUCAUAGAUUUAUGUAAAUGCAGGAUAACGCAUAUCUUUACUCUUGUUACCUUAUUAGAUACAGAAUUCAAUUCCUUGUUGCCUUUUGAGUUUCCAUUAAUCUGCUUAAAAGAUUUCUCUUUGGUUGUUUAGUAUACUUUGAUCACAUAACUGCUCUGUUGUUUUGUCAUGUCAUUUCAGUUUGGUAUUUUCCUAAUACAGCUCAUUUGAUCAGCAGGCAGUACUUUCCUUCUCAAUCUAGUCCUCUCAAAUUCAAGCAAUACCUGGCAUGUUCUACUCAAAGAAUGUGCUGCAAUUCGUCCAGGUUGCAUGGUUUUGUGGAGAGCUGGUAUUGUUUCCUUAUGAUGGUUUGGAAGGAAGAAAAUAAUCAUGUAUUUGUUGAUUGGACUACAAACUGUAUAUAAAGCAUUUUAUCGAACAGGAUAUGUUCAGAUGCUCAGAUCUGUAUGUUCAUGUCCUAUUGGGAACUUGUCUUAAUCUUAUAUGGUAAAUCACUAUUAGUUGCUUGCCUACCUUGUAAAACAUGUCUGUUCAUGAGAAAUGCUUUUUGUGGGGAAAAUAUACCGAUUAUGCUGAACAAGCCCGCAAUCAAGUUCAUUCUCUUUUAUUAAUUUGCACAAUUCUUCAAUGCUUCUCUUAAUUAUCAUGGUGUUGUUAUUGAGUCAUACCUUCAGGUAUAACUUCUGGGCUCAGACAUCUUCUAAUCUUGGAUUUAGCUCCACCUUGGAUUCUCUAUGCUAAUGCUUUAGUCUUCCUGCUGGCUUCCACUUCCUAAAUUUGCUCUCACUCUGCUCUGCACCAUGUAUGAUGCUGAUAACUUGGUUCCAGCUUCUGCUCCAUGUGCAUCAACCUUCUAACCUCUUUUGGUCUCUGGUUGGAUCAUAAUUUCAAGAUCAUGCAUCAAGACUCAGCCACUUCCUGUGUUUGAUGUUCAUAUUCGUUCAUCACUCAUCUUCUUUCUGCACCUUGUUCCUAGGACUUAGUUCACUCUUUGUUGAGCUUCAUACCACCUGGUAUCUUGUCUCUGUUUAUUAGUGCUGAUUGGUAGAUCUCUGGUAGUGUUUGCAUGUGGUGUUAGAUGGCAUCUUCAUGCAUGUCUUUUUCGUUGCCAAUUAACUUUAACAGGCCGCUUAUUUCAGUCAGUACGUCCUGUCCCCAGUUUGGACUGUCAGCCCCUUAUUAUUCAUUUCAUGGUCGAUCUAUGACCAUGGUGAUCUAGCUUGAUUUAGAGAUUUUUAGGAUUGCGACUUAUGCUGCAAAUAUAUUGCUAAACAUAUUUAUUUCUAUUAUAUUGCCUACUGAUGUACGUUGAUGUUUUUUUAAUCAUUAUUAUUUUUAUGUCUUCAAAUGACUUGGACCAUUGAAUCUUUGUGUACAUGUUAAUGUAAUUGAGUGCUGUAAGUAUAUAUAGUUAACCAUGCAUCACAAUAAGAUAGCAAAUCUGCAAGAUCGUUGCUCUUGAAUUUGCUAACAUGAUUCAUACUAGUCCUGGGCUCUAGAUAUAAUGCUCUUAUUCAGCUUCAGGACUCAACAAUAAUUUUUUCUAGAAGCUUUAAAUAUAUUCAACAUCUUUUCGUUAACCAAAAUUUAUUCAUCCUUUAAUGGUCUCUUGUUUUGCUCCCUAGAUACCUGAUUUCUGCACAAUUUGAUUAUCUUGCUGAUUUCACUUUGCAACCAGGUGUUCCACCAUAACAAAUUAUCGCUGGACUUGAUCAAAAGAAUCUAAGUUGAGGUCAGCAAUUUAUUUUGAACUGGAACAAAAAAAAAAAACUGUUUAGCACUUGUUUUAGGUGUAGAUUGGUUGUGGAUGAGCAGAUGUGAACAAAAAGAAAAAUAAAGAAAGAGAUAUGACUGCACAAAAAGGUCGAAUAAGCUUGUAGUACAAAAAGAAGGAUAAAACAAACCAGUUGCUCCACAUCUUGGCUCCAUUGACAUUUCUGUGGCUCACAUUACAAGAUAUUGGAAUGAAAAAUUUUUGCAGGAAAAUAUGAUAUAAACAUAAAAGAGAGAAGAGAAGGGAUUUUAGGAGU